UUAGAUGUCCGGGGCCGCACGCGCGCUACACUGAAGGAAUCAGCGUGUGCUCUCCCGGUCCGGCAGGACUGGGUAACCCGUUGAACCUCCUUCGUGAUAGGGAUAGGGGCUUGUAAUUGUUCCCCUUGAACGAGGAAUUCCCAGUAAGCACGAGUCAUAAGCUCGUGUUGAUUACGUCCCUGCCCUUUGUCCACACCGCCCGUCGCUACUACCGAUUGAACGAUUUAGUGAGGUCUUCGGACUGGCGCUCGGAGCGGUCUCCGUCCGGGCCGAAGUGCCGGAAAGAUGACCGAACUUGAUCGUUUAGAGGAAGUAAAAGUCGUAACAAGGUUUC
rnacentral:rRNA from 1 species